UUAAAAUAAAAGAGAGAGAGAGUUUUCUGAAGACCAAGGAACCUACUUAGAAACUGAAGGCACACAGCUUGGAAGCACACCCACACCCACUGCCAGGCAGUGAGAGAGGGAGAAUCACUUCUGUGACGUAUUUCCCUCUCUGACAGUGAGGUCCUCAGGGAUGUGCAGUUCUUCUCUGCGCUCCACAUGAUGUUAUGAUGUGGAAUACCAAUAGCAAAAAUUACAACAGCAUGACAAAUUAAUAUUCCAGGUAUUUUCCAAGUGUGGGAAUUGUGGCUGAGGAAGAGCUGUCACUUAGCACAUAUAAUCAAUUUAAUUUCUGUACCAAAAUACAGCUUUUUUAAGCAACCUAUAGUUGCUUGUUGCUUGAAGAAAAGUUGAGAAAUACUCAGCUGUCUGGUUCUUCCUUUGUUCUAACAUACAUCAACCCUAAACCACAACUUCUAUGCAGCAGAGGAUAAAGGGAGAUGGAUUCCAGCAACUUGGAAUGCCUCAUCAGGUGAAUUAGGCAGGGACAGCGAGGGGUCAGCUACCAGCACCCUCCUCAUGAGUAGCUUAGGAACAAUUAAAGAGCUUAGAAACAACCAAUCUUAAAUUUCCAGAUAUACUCUUCUUUCUGUCCUUUCUCUCAUUGGGACGGGACUGGAUAUUUGCUUUCUGAUCCAUUUUAUUCCAUUUCUGGCUGCUCUGCAUGCCCCAGACAAUGAUGCAGAAGGUCAGUGAUGGUAAUGCAAGGAGUCAUUUGAGAAAUCUGAAGAGAGGACAGAAAGCUAAUGACAACUACUAGAUACCUGACCUGCUCUAGGAUUACAAAAAUCCACAUUCCUGUUACAUGACAGAGGUCAGAAUUUACUGGCAUCAAUGGCAGCUGCUGCAGAGAGCAAAGCACUGAGGCAGGGCUUGAUGGCAGCGGGGCUGCUCCCGCACCGCACUUCCCGGGUGGUGAUGAUGUGUGAAAUAGUGUCCUCUGCUGCACGAACCGACACAGUGCGCCUACUCUGAGUUGCCCCGCAGGAAGACAGACUGGAGGAGGAAAGCUUGAACAACAAUAAAUCCUGAUCUAAAGGUAACA
rnacentral:lncRNA from 1 species